rnacentral:lncRNA from 1 species
GCAUUAAAAUUUUAAAAAAUGGCCACUUUCCUCUAUCUAUCUCAAAGCUUCACAAUCUCACAAUUUAGAUUUCGACUCUCUCUCUCUCUCUCCACCAUCUUCUUCGUCGUCGUCCCAUCGCGCCGCCCUUCCCGUUGCAAAUCGUCGUAGCGCACUACCGCCGUCACGUAAGGUUCAUCUUCUUCGUCGCGCACUGCCGCCAUCGCGCAUUGUUCGUUGCGCACUGCCGCCAUCGCGCACUCUCCGGAGCUCACUCCGCAUCUCGCCGGCUACGCCAUCUCAGAGAGAACCAGAACCCCACGAGCGCUCCGUCGAGGAGCUCCACCGGAAUAAGCUCGGCGGUGGUUUUAGAUCUUACGGCAGCGGUUCCAGAGACGAGCAGGCGGCGCGUCAGGGGAGCUUCAAUCGGGAUUCUGAUUGUGAAUUAGAGCCUUCUAGGGCUGACGAGACUGAUGAUUGGGGUGCAAAUAAGAAACCGUCUGGGGGUACUGGAUUUGAUAGGAGAGAGAGGGAAGAGCGAGGGGGUUCGCGAUAAUUCUCUUUUUUAUUUUUCCAAUUUCAGGCAUCUUUGUUUUAACUUAAAUCCUAGAUUCCGAACUUGAGUUUUGGAUGGAAAAUUGAUAGAUUUUCCUCUGUUUCUGUAUAUUAUUAUUUGAAUUAAAUAGCUGCCAUUUUUUGUUUGUGUGAUUGAAAUGUUCUUGUUGAGUCAUAUGAGGAAAUUAACUUUAGAUCUUCAUUUUUUAAAUAUUUUUAUUGUCGAUUGGAACAAUUUAUUUUCACUGUUGCUUGUUGAAACUUGAAAGUCUUCC